AACUAGAGAAGGCUGUGGGCAGCAGUGAAGACCCAGAACAACCAAAAAAAAAAAAAGGGUAUAGACAACCGGACCUGAUUGGUCACUGUCCAUGUGGCCUUUGAUCACCUCUGAGUAGCCAGGGUGUCAGGUGUCUCCCUGUGAAGUCAUUUGCCUCCUCUCCACAGUCCUCUUGAGAAGAAAGUCACGAAGCACAGCCUACACUUAAGGAAUUGCUCCCCCUUUUUAAUUUUUAAGGUCAUAAAAUGGUAUAAAAAUCCAAUUUUAAAUCAGUUGACAUGGAGGCAAAACAAAAAGCCAUUGUUAACAGCCUCUUGAGUUUCCUUCCUGGAAUUUUUUUCAAGGCAUUUUCAAGUCACUAUUUUCAUCUCCACCCUGCCACCCACUCCUCACCUUUUUUUUUUUUUCCUUUUUAAAAGGGGGGAUCAUAUUUGACUUCACGGAAUCUAUAAUUUUGUAAUCAUGCCACUAAAGAAGAUAAAGCAACGUGACUGUUUAAUAACAUGAUCUGACCUGCAGAGCAUUUCAAAAGCACUUGAAGCUUUUUCAGCAAACACUGCCUCCCUUUUCAUUUCCUCUAUCAGCACUGAAAAUAGUUGGAGUUUUUUUUUCUCUCUCUUAAUUCCAUGCAUUAAAAAAAAAGAGAUUCUUCUCGACAGAAGGUGUUAAUUCAGGCAUUAAAUCUGGAACAUUCUAAUCACUGUGAAGUUUUGUGUGUCUCAUCUUUGGCAGAAAACGUGUGAAGAUGAGAGCUUAUUCCUUACACCUUACAGCUCCUGAAGCGGCUCUACAGAAGCUCAUCACUUACAUCCUCCCACACUUGAGUCACCUCCCACCUCCUGACCUCGUGUUCCCAGCUUCAGGGUUUCCAGAAGCCCACCUAGUUCCCUCUCAUCUUGCAGGAGGGGCUGCCUUAGCUGAUGCACCCCAAAUCUGCCUUCUCCUCCCAAGCCUCUCCCCUGUACAAUUUUGAACUGCACAAGUCAUAAAUGAAUCCCUCUGUAUUCGUUUCCUGUGGUGGCUUUAACGAACCACCACCAACUUAAACACAAAUUCACUCUUCCACUGUUCUGGAUAUCAAGAGGCUGAAGUCAGGAAGUCCUAAGCGGAAGGUGCUGGUGGAACUGGUCCCUUCUGCAUGCUGGACCCUGUGAUCACAUCGACCUCACCUGGAUGACCAGGAGAUGCCUCAUCUCAAGGGCUUUAACUGAACACACCUGCUAAGCCCUUCUGGCCUCAUAAGGCAAUGUGACAGGUAUUGAGUAUUAGGAUGUGGGUUUACUUGGGGGAGUAUUAUUCAGCCAGCCACACCAUCCUUCUUUAAACAGAAAUAAGUCAGAAUCUAAGAGCCCCUUUGGGGCUUCCCUGGUGGCUCAGCGGUAAAGAAUCCGCCUGCCAAUGCAGGAGAUGCAGGUUCAAUCCCUGGGUUGGGAAGUUUCCCUGGAGAAGGAAAUGGCAACACACUCCAGUAUUCUUGCCUCGGAAAUCCCAUGGACAGAGGAGCCUGGCAGGAUCCUAGGGUACCCUCAGGAAAGACGGCAUCGGCCAGAGAGAGAUGACACGGGUCUUAUAAUAAAUUGAAACCUGAUAGUCUGGGGUUGAACGAUAAGAAAAUAAAGGAGAAAAAAUAAAGAGAAGAGAAAGAGGCUUGAUCUUCCUUGAUUAAUACAGAAAGCC